rnacentral:rRNA from 1 species
GACGAACGCUGGCGGCGUGCCUAAUACAUGCAAGUCGACCUAACUGGCGGACGGGUUAUUAACACGUGGGAACCUACCCAUCAGAGUGCGAUAACACUUGGAAACAGGCGCUAAUACGUAAGUUUGAUGGAUGUUCUCGGGGUGGAUUAGCUAGUUGGUGGGGUAACGGCUCACCAAGGCCACGAUGCAUAGCCGGUCUGAGAGGGUGAUCAGCCACACUGGGACUGAGACACGGCCCAGACUCCUACGGGAGGCAGCAGUGGGGAAUAUUGGACAAUGGGCGAAAGCCUGAUCCAGCCAUGCCGCGUGUGUGAAGAAGGUCUUCGGAUUGUAAAGCACUUUAAGUUGGGAGGCGUUACCAACAGAAGAAGCACCGGCUAACUUCGUGCCAGCAGCCGCGGUAAUAC